GUGAGGAAUAUUGCGCAAUGGAUGCAAGUCUGACCCAGCCAUCCCGCGUGCCGGAAGAAGGCCCUCAGGGUUGUAAACGGCUUUUGACGGUGAAGAAUCGACAGGAUGCGUCCUGUUUUGACGGUAGCCGUUGAAUAAGCACCGGCUAACUCCGUGCCAGCAGCCGCGGUAAUACGGAGGGUGCGAGCGUUGUCCGGAUUUAUUGGGUUUAAAGGGUGCGUAGGCUGGAAGGUCAGUCAGCGGUGAAAAGCUGUCGCUUAACGAUAGUCUUGCCGCAGAUACUUCCUUUCUUGGAUGAGGAGGAGGCCACUGGAACGGAUGGUGUAGCGGUGAAAUGCAUAGAUAUCAUCCAGAACACCGAUUGCGAAGGCAGGUGGCUGUACCUUAAUCGACGCUGAUGCACGAAAGCAUGGGGAGCAAACAGGAUUAGAAACCCCUGUAGUCC
rnacentral:rRNA from 1 species